rnacentral:rRNA from 1 species
AGAGUUUGAUCAUGGCUCAGAGCGAACGCUGGCGGCAGGCUUAACACAUGCAAGUCUAACGGACGCAGCAAUGCGUCAGUGGCAGACGGGUGAGUAACACGUGGGAACGUGCCCUUCGGUUCGGAACAACCCAGGGAAACUUGGGCUAAUACCGGAUACGUCCGCAAGGAGAAAGAUUUAUCGCCGAAGGAUCGGCCCGCGUCUGAUUAGCUUGUUGGUGAGGUAACGGCUCACCAAGGCGACGAUCAGUAGCUGGUCUGAGAGGAUGAUCAGCCACACUGGGACUGAGACACGGCCCAGACUCCUACGGGAGGCAGCAGUGAGGAAUAUUGCGCAAUGGACGAAAGUCUGACGCAGCAACGCCGCGUGAAGGAUGAAGGUGCUUUGCAUUGUAAACUUCUGUAGAGAGGGAAGAAUCCCCCGCUUUCGGCGGGGUUGACGGUACCUCUAAAGUAAGCACCGGCUAAUUCCGUGCCAGCAGCCGCGGUAAUACGGAAGGUGCAAGCGUUGUCCGGAUUAACUGGGUGUAAAGGGCGUGUAGGCGGAGGAGCGUGUCGGGAGUGAAAUCGUGCGGCUUAACCGUAUCAAUUGCUUUCGAAACUGUUCCCCUUGAGUUCGGAAGAGGCAGAUGGAAUACCAGGUGUAGCGGUGGAAUGCGUAGAUAUCUGGUAGAACACCGGAGGCGAAGGCGGUCUGCUGGUCCGAUACUGACGCUGAGGCGCGAAAGUGUGGGUAGCGAACAGGAUUAGAUACCCUAGUAGUCC